rnacentral:rRNA from 1 species
AUUGAACGCUGGCGGCAUGCCUUACACAUGCAAAUUGAACGGUAACGGGCCUUCGGGUGCCGACGAGUGGCGAACGGGUGAGUAAUACAUCGGAACGUGCCCGAUCGUGGGGGAUAACGAGGCGAAAGCUUUGCUAAUACCGCAUACGAUCUACGGAUGAAAGCAGGGGACCGCAAGGCCUUGCGCGGACGGAGCGGCCGAUGGCAGAUUAGGUAGUUGGUGGGAUAAAAGCUUACCAAGCCGACGAUCUGUAGCUGGUCUGAGAGGAUGAUCAGCCACACUGGGACUGAGACACGGCCCAGACUCCUACGGGAGGCAGCAGUGGGGAAUUUUGGACAAUGGGCGCAAGCCUGAUCCAGCCAUGCCGCGUGCAGGAUGAAGGCCUUCGGGUUGUAAACUGAUUUUGUACGGAACGAAAAGCCUUCUUUUAAUACAGGAGGGUCAUGACGGUACCGUAAGAAUAAGCACCGGCUAACUACGUG